rnacentral:tRNA from 1 species
CCUCCUUUCUAGAGAAGAUGUUCUUGUUAUACGAUUUUACAUAAAGAAGUUUUAUUCUUUUUGCUGUUGAUUUUAAAUAUAUACAGAGUAAUCUAAGAGAUAUAGAAGAUAAUUACAAAGUCUCGUAGCUCAGCUGGUUAGAGCGCUACACUGAUAAUGUAGAGGUCGGCAGUUCGAGUCUGCCCGAGACUACAUAAUUAGCUUUUGUUGUCGAUUAAAGAUUAUUUUGAAGGAAAUUCUGGAGGUUGAGAUUUAGAGUACUACUCCUAGUCCGCUUUAAGAAUUUUACUUAUGGGGGAUUAGCUCAGCUGGCUAGAGCGCCUGCCUUGCACGCAGGAGGUCAUCGGUUCGACUCCGAUAUUCUCCACAGAUGAAUACUUUUAAAAGGUAUCAUCGCUAUGGAGAAAACCAAAGAGAGCUUGCUUUUUUAGGUUUUUGAAAUAAGAUGAUUUUUAAAUGUAUUCUCAAAAUGGGAUUUAAGGAG